GACAGAGGAGCCAAGCGUUGUCCGGAUUGACUGGGCGUAAAGCGCACGCAGGCGGGUGCGCACGUGGGGUGUGAAAUCGGCGCGCUUAACGCGCCAUCGCCAUCCCAUACGGCGCGCCUGGAGCCUUGCAGAGGGCGGUGGAAUUGCCGGUGUAGUGGUGAAAUGCGCAGAUAUCGGGAGGAACACCCGUAGCGAAGGCGGCACUCUGGGCCGGAACUGACGCUGAGGAGCGAAAGCGUGGGGAGCAAACAGG
rnacentral:rRNA from 1 species